GUGCUCAUUUCAGCAACACAUAUACUUAAAUAGGAACUAUACAGAGAAGAUUAGCACGACCCCUGAGCAAGUAUAACAUGGAAAUUCGUGAAGUGUUCCGUAUUUUU
ensembl:snRNA U6 U6 spliceosomal RNA